rnacentral:rRNA from 1 species
UACGUAGGGGGCAAGCGUUAUCCGGAUUUACUGGGUGUAAAGGGAGCGUAGGCGGCGUUGCAAGUCAGAUGUGAAACCCCGGGGCUUAACUCCGGGACUGCAUUUGAAACUGCGAUGCUAGAGUGCGGGAGAGGUAAGCGGAAUUCCUAGUGUAGCGGUGAAAUGCGUAGAUAUUAGGAAGAACACCGGUGGCGAAGGCGGCUUACUGGACCGUAACUGACGCUGAGGCUCGAAAGCGUGGGGAGCAAAC